GGCUCAGAUGAACGCGGCGCAGGCCUAACACAGCAAGUCGAGCGGUAACAGGUCUAGCUUGCUAGAUGCUGACAAGCGGCGGACGGGUGCGUAACACGUAGGAAUCUACCCAGUAGAGGGGGAUAGCCCGGAGAAAUCCGGAUUAAUACCGCAUACGCCCUAAGGGGGAAAGCAGGGGAUCUUCGGACCCUGCGCUAUUGGAGGAGCCUGCGUCGGAUUAGCUAGUUGGUGGGGUAAAGGCCUACCAAGGCGACGAUCCGUAGCUGGUCUGAGAGGAUGAUCAGCCACACUGGGACUGAGACACGGCCCAGACUCCUACGGGAGGCAGCAGUGGGGAAUAUUGCACAAUGGGGGAAACCCUGAUGCAGCCAUGCCGCGUGUGUGAAGAAGGCUUUAGGGUUGUAAAGCACUUUCA
rnacentral:rRNA from 1 species